rnacentral:snoRNA from 1 species
AAGACUAUACUUUCAGUGAUCAUUUUUCACAGUUCCUUACUAAAAAAGUUUCUCUGAACCUGUAGAACACCAGAAACCACACGGAGGAGGCAGUGUUUUCUCCUGAGCCUGAAGCUGGCACUUAGUGUUGCUUGGCUGCUGUUGCCAUUUGUCAUUGGUGAUGGUUUUUUUCUUCCUAUGGGAGAGUAAGAGAAAUAAUACAGUCUGAGUGGC